UGGUGAUGUGUUUGAAGUUCUUACUUUACUGAACAUUCUUGCUUCUACAAUUAUAUCUAUAAUGACUUGCCCAUUAGUAACAGAGAAAAAUAUUUGGUAAAAAUUUACAUAAAUUUACCAAUUAAUGAAAAUUGUUAAAAAUUGACUAUAAAGGGCAAUAACUCCUUAAGGGGUCAAUUGACCAUUUAGGUCAUGUGGACUUAUUUGUAGAUCUUACUUUGAUGAACAUUAUCGCUGUUUACAGUUUAUCGCUAUCUAUAAUAGUAUUCAAGAUAAUAACCAAAAACAGCAAAAUUUCUUUAAAAAUUACCAAUUGGAGGGCAGCAACCCAACAACCGGUUGUCCAAUUCAUUUGAAUAUUU
rnacentral:lncRNA from 1 species